rnacentral:misc_RNA from 1 species
UUCAGAGUCUGCUGAUCUUUUCGCGAACAUGCUCCGGCUAUAAGCCAGAACGAUACAUAGUAAUCGUUUCUAGAGACGAUUCAAAUUCGAAGACGGAGCUUCCAGAAGGGAAAGAUUCGUCGGGACGAAUCGUGAAACAAAGCGUGAAGCGAACAGGAAAGAGAACACACCAUAGUGAUACGGUGUUUUACGCGACGUAAACUGAAUCGCCGUUGCAUAAUUUUCCUAAAAAUACGCGAAAACGGGCGGCCGUGGGCACGCGAUUGCGCGAGCGUCAGAAAUAUUCGCGAGCCGGCGAUACUCGAUGAACCAGUAGACCACCGCGAAUGUAAAUCCCGGAUUACUUUGCGGGACAGUGAAGUGUCGGGAGCCUCGCACGCGAAUACGACCGCGUACGAGAUCGUCCACUGUGCAAGUGAUCGGACGCAGCGACGAACACGAGCCCUGGCGCAGACCGUAGUGAACGCGACUGUUCGCCGACGAUUCGAGUAUGGUGCCAGAAUUCGUUCAGUGAGUGAUGUCUGUCUCGGAGUGGAUCCUCUGGCCUAUCGACGACCAAUCGUUUCGCAGCCAACCGCCAGUCGACCGAGCGUGAAACUGGCGCCGCCAGGGAAGAGGAAGCAGCGAGCGUUCCGAUGUAAAGGACAGUAAUUAGCUAUGGCACGGCGAGGAACACUCACCCGGGUAUCGGCUAUUACGGAUCGGGGAGCAUGAAAUGUCAUCAGCAGAGCCAGCCAGCCAGCCAGCGUUUCUGGGAUCGACAUUUUGCGGCUGGAUCGUCGCAUGGGGCGAAGAUCGCACAGAUAACGGGCGUCAGCCGAGGAUUACCGUCUUUUUUCCUUCCAUUGACUCUGAUUUUUUCUCUGUACGCGAUCACUUUACCGUGGACCAUCGGCAAGAAAAAUGGGAGCAGACACACAUCUGGAACAGGGGAUGAUUGAACGAAAGAACGUGCACGACGGGGCACACGUAAUGUUAAGCUUAGCUGGUUGAACACGGG